AGAACGAACGCUGGCGGCGUGGAUAAGACAUGCAAGUCGAGCGGAUCAGUAUUGGUAGCAAUACCGGUAUUGGUCAGCGGCGCAAGGGUGCGUAACACGUGGGCAACCUGCCCGGAAGUGGGGGGACAGCUCGCCGAAAGGCGAAUUAAUACCGCAUGUGACGAGGGGUGGAGUCACCCUGUAGUCAAAGCCGGGGCAACCUGGCGCUUCUGGAUGGGCCCGCGGCCUAUCAGCUAGUGGUGGGUAACGGCCUACCAAGGCUAUGACGGGUAGCUGGUCUGAGAGGACGACCAGCCACACUGGAACUGAGACACGGUCCAGACCACCGUACGGGUGGCAGCGAGUCGAGUAAUUUUUCUCAAGUGGGGGAAACCCUGAAGGAGCGACGCG
rnacentral:rRNA from 1 species